ACCCCUAAAAACAAACGCAUCCCGCCAUUGGACGAUUGGUAUAACGUCUGUGUCACCCUCGGUGGCAGCAAAUAUACAAUCCUUUCUUUUAAAAUUUAUACCUUCUCCGAGACACGCCCAAAAUACACACUCGUCAUUCAAAAUCCAUACAUCUUUUUAUAUCCAUCCCUUUCCCCCACUGCCAAUUCUUCACCCUCUCUCGCCGUUCAUGGUGUCUUCUUCUUAUUUAUAUGGGUGGCGGAGACGACGCUCCAAAAUGCCCGCCGGACAAGGACUAUCAAGCCAUAAUGCAACCGUUUUUGCCGGUGGUGGAGGGGGAGUUGGAACCUUUAUUCGAUGUCCCCCUUUCCGAUGCUCCUAUACUCUUUCUUGUCUUUUUCCACAAGGCACUGCGCCACGAGCUCUCCGACCUCCACCGCUUGGCUGUUAUUGCUUCGGAGAGUGUGUCUAGUAAACGCGAUGUUAUACUUGAUCUCCGUCGGAGAUUUGAUUUCUUCAGACUUGCUCAUAAAUAUCAUUCUGCUGUGGAGGAUGAGGUUAUCUUUCUAGCAUUAGAUGCCCACACAAAAAAUAUUGUACAUAAAUAUGCUCUUGAACAUAACUGUAUAGAUGACCUCUUCGACUCUGUUUACCAUUGCUUGGAUACAUUGGUGGAUGUAAAUAAGGACAGUUCUGAGACUUUUCAAGAACUUAUAUCAUGCAUUGGCACCAUGCACUCCUACAUUUGUCAGCAUAUGCUGAAAGAAGAAGAGCAGGUUUUUCCAUUGCUUCUGGAGCAUUUCUCUUCAAAAGAACAGGCUUCACUUGUGUGGGAGUUCUUUUGCAGCAUUCCUGUAAUCCUGCUGAAGGAAUUGUUGCCAUGGAUGAUCUCCUUUCUCAGUCCAGAAAAACAAGUGGAUGUGACACAUUGUAUUAGAGAAAUUGUACCCCAGGAAAAAUCAUUGCAGGAGGUGGUAAUUUCUUGGCUUUGUAGGAAUGAUCGAUCCUCGUUUGGGGCUUUCACCAAAAUUAGAAAAGAAGCUCUUGAUGGAUGUAUGGAAAGUAUACUGAAAUUGCACUGUUCUGAGAAUCCAUUGAGAGAACCUAGGCAAUUAAGGAAGAUGGGUUGUGUCCCAACUUCUAUUGGAAACAAUAUGGUUGAAUAUCUCCAUCUAUGGCAUUGUGCCAUCCAGAAAGAUUUGAAAGAAAUACUGGAAGAGGCAUAUCAAAGAAGAAACACAAGAAGACUCCUAAAUAUAGAUUCACUAUUAGCCCAGCUGAAAUUUCUUGUUGAUGUCAUAAUUUUCUACAGCAAUGCAUUGAAGAAAUUCUUUUACCCUGUGUUGAAUAAAGUUUCCGACAAUCACUUGUCUAUAAGCUCCAGUGACCAGUUCUCCAUUGAAAGUCAUAUAGGAAGUUUACAUCAGUUGCUACAGUAUGAUACUAAAAAUGGUUUAGGUUUGUCCCAGUUUGUAGAGAAGCUUUGCCAGGAACUAGAGUCCUUUGUGAUGGAUAUUGGCAAACAAUUUUACUUUCAAGAAAUAGAGGUAUUUCCCCUUAUUAGCAAGAACUGCAGUGAUGAUACACAACGGGAGCUUUUGUACACAAGCCUUUGUCUGAUGCCACUAGGACUGCUAAAGUGUGUGAUUCCUUGGUACGCAGCACAUUUGUCCGAGAGUGAAUCCAGGUCCUUUCUUCAUGGCAUAAACCAGCUGGGAGAUAAUUUUGCCGAUAAAUCUUUUGUAUCCGUCUUACUUGAGUGGUUCCACAUUGGUUAUUCAGGUAAACCUUCUGGAAAUUUUGGAAAGAACUUGCAGAAAAUAUCCAAGAGUACAUGCUCAUUUCUGCCUGAGCAAAUCAAGGAAACUAUUGGAUGUUCCUCCUUUUACUCAAACAAACAACCUUGUGGAGAAUCUAAACCUAGUAUAACAGAACCGGUCACUGCUAACAAGGGCAAGACCCUUGUUUCAUACUCUUCUUCGGAAUCCCACAAAGCUGAAGCAUAUGAGAUGCCCUAUGCAAGUGAAAUAAAUCUGCAUGUAUUUUUUCCUGGAACAAAAAGAUUGUUGCGCUCUUUUCCUAAAUUACCUGGUGGAGAGAGUUCUGCAAUUUCCAUUACAGAGGAACCAAAACCAAUGGACCUCAUCUUUUUCUUCCACAAGGCUCUCAAGAAAGACUUUGAAUACCUGGUUUCUGGUUCAGCUCAAUUGGUUGAAAACAUCAUGUUUCUUAAGGAGUUCAGUCAGCACUUCCAUCUUUUGUGGCUCCGUUAUCAAUUUCAUAGUGGUACAGAGGAUGAAAUUGCCUUUCCUGCUCUGGAAGCAAAGGGAAAAGUCCAAAACAUAAGCUACUCCUACACUAUUGACCACAAGCUUGAAGUUAAACAUUUCCAUGAGAUUUCCCUCAUUUUAGACAAGAUGUCUAAAUUGCAUAUUUCGGUUUCUAGUGCUGAUUCCUGCCUGCAGGACCGAAGAAUGGUGAAAUACAAUCAGCUAUGUAUGAAACUUCAUCAUAUGUGCAAAUCAAUGCAUAAAUUACUUUCAGACCAUAUUCAUCAUGAAGAAAUUGAACUUUGGCCCUCAUUUAGAGAAUGCUUUUCUAUCCAGGAGCAAGAAAAGAUCAUAGGACUCAUGCUAGGGAAAGCAAAAGCAGAAACAUUGCAAGAUAUAAUACCCUGGCUGAUUGGCUCCUUAACACCAGAGGAACAGCUUGUCUUCAUGUCCUUAUUGCGCAGGGUGACAAAGAACACAAUGUUUGAUGAAUGGUUAGGAGAAUGGUGGGAAGGGCAUGAUACUGCCCAUGUGGCACCGGAGUCAAACACUUUGUGGACUGCUGAUCCACUGGAGAUAAUCUCAAGAUAUCUAUCUACCGAUGCUCUUGAAGAACAAGGUGACAUCCUUUGUGACAAGGGCAUCAAGUUAGAUUGUUUUGGUGCUAAUAUUGACAUGCUGGGAAAAUGCAAUUUGGAUGAUAAUGCAAAGGUUUCUAAGGGAAACCAAAAUAAUGAAGGUUCAAAAUCCGAAAAACUUGUUAGUGAAAUUGAAAACAAGACAUGCAAUGAGGUUGCUGGUGUGACAAUUAAGGUAGAUAAACCAGGUCAACCUUUUCAAUCAAAUCCAAAGUCUGGACAUCAUGAGCACCUUUUGACCACAAGUCAAGAUGAUCUGGAGGCUGCAAUAAGAAGGGUGUCUCGUGACUCUUCCUUAGAUCCUGAAAAGAAAUCAUAUAUAAUCCAGAACCUGCUCAUGAGUCGUUGGAUUGUUCAACAACGUAUAUCUCACCCACAAGCAAUCAUUUCAAGUAAUGGAGAAGAAUUUCCAGGGCAGCAUCCGUCUUACCGUGAUGCUCUCAAAGUAACCAUGGGUUGCAAACACUACAAAAGGAACUGUAAACUUGUCAUUUCCUGUUGCAAUAAGCUCUAUACAUGCAUACGUUGCCAUGAUGAGGUGGCUGACCAUUCAACAGAUAGGUAGGAACGAGUUUCUACCCAUGCUUUUUCAAAGUUUUUGCUCUCUCUUCCGAUUUUUUUUUUUCUCCCGUUGCUUCUAUCAAUCACUUUGCAGGAGAACUAUUACAAAGAUGAUGUGCAUGAAAUGCUUGGCUAUUCAGCCAAUUGGACAGACAUGCUCGACUGUCUCUUGUGACAAUUUACCAAUGGCAAGAUAUUAUUGCAAGAUCUGCAAAUUGUUCGAUGAUGAAAGGGAAAUCUACCACUGCCCUUUCUGUAACCUCUGCCGAGUAGGGAAGGGAUUGGGCAUUGACUACUUCCAUUGCAUGAAUUGCAAUGCCUGCAUGUCACAGUCUCUUUUAGCACACAUAUGCAGGGAGAAAUGUUUGGAAGAAAACUGUCCAAUUUGCCAUGAUUACAUUUUCACAUCCAGCACUCCAGUAAAAGCACUUCCUUGUGGUCACUUGAUGCACUCAACAUGUUUUCAGGAUUACACAUGUACUCAAUAUACAUGUCCAAUCUGUAGCAAGUCACUCGGAGACAUGCAGGUGUAUUUUAAGAUGUUGGAUACAUUGUUGGCGGAAGAGAAAAUGCCAGAUGAAUAUUCUGGCAGAACUCAGGUCAUAUUAUGUAAUGACUGUGAGAAGAAAGGUGCAGCUCCUUUCCAUUGGCGCUAUCACAAAUGCCAGUACUGUGGCUCGUACAACACGAGGCUUCUAUGAUGCUUGCUCAAUGUGAGUCGUUAACUUUUCUUCAGUUACUACAUCUAGAAAUAUGAGCUUGUAUAAUCACUGUUUUAUCACUAGCAUCGAAAGAGAUCACUUGAAUCCAAUUCUUCUGAAUAAUUCGGUUGUAGUUCCUUGUACUCAAGGUCUUGUUUCUUAUCCACGAUGUAUUAAUUUGAAAUUCAGAUACUCGUUUCUUGAUCAUAAACUGAAAAAUUAAUUCUAAAAUCAAUUAAAGAAAUUUAGAUUCUCUACAAGAGGGAUUUAACUUUACUGGAAAAAAAGGAAGGAAAAUAGAAGAUCAAAAUUGUAGAAGGUACUCUAUAAUGUGGUUUGAAGGGAAGGGGGAAAAAAUAGAAGUAUUGAAAUCACAGUACUUUUCUCCAGCUCACUGAUGAAUUUUAUCGAAGGAAAAACAUGGACAUUAUCAUUUCUGUGCAGUUCAUUCAUCACUUGACACUCUUCAGUUCAUUAUCAGCAACAUAAUGGAUUGUAUUGUUUCCUUCAGUGAUUCUUCUGAGCUGAAAUAUAAAUUUACAUCAUCAAGUUGGAAACCAAUAAGAAGUUGAGCAAUAAAUAUAAUUUAAAGCAUUUUAUAAUUGUUUCUGCCUUCAACUCCAUGCUAAUACCAUAUCUAAAGCUUAGACAGAUGUGUAGCUAUUGAAAAAAGGGCCAAAUGAGAUUCUACAACUUCAGUUUUUAGAGAACAUAUUAAUGAAUGAUUAAGCAGAAGCAAAGUAAUAGAUUGUAUCUUGCCUCAUAGGCAUCUUUAGAUUCUGCGUCUUGUUGGAUAGCUAGUGACUGUGAGGCAACCAACUGAGACUGAAUUGCCAUGGAAUUGGCAUUAUCGUUAUUAUUAGUUGUAGCAUAGAGUUGCUGAACCCAUAAAGAAUUCCCUAAAUAAUACUUACUUAGAGCUAUAACUGGCGUUGCUGCUAUUCGAGUUGGAAUGUUGCCAUGAAACAGGGAAAGCUGUUACAGCAUUGUAAGUGGAGGGGGGUGUGACUGAAAAGCGGAAGAGAAUUACUAGGAAUCAUUGCCUAUGUGUAAUGAGUUGUGCGUGAACAGCAUGGAGCUUUCUUGAGCCUGUCUAAUCUGGUAAUGGAGCUGAAAGAUGAUGCCCUGACAGCCAUGAACAGAAAUCCAUCUCGAAUACUGGCUUGGUAAAUAAUAGAACGCAUUGCUUCUGCAUGUUGAGAGGCUUCAAGAUUUUCAAGUAACUUGGUAAUCUUUCUUAAGCCAAAUAAUUUAUGGGCAUUCUGAAACAACUGAGGUUGGCCAUGAGGGAAGUAAGUUGCCAAAAGACAUUCUGAGGAGCACUUUCUCCUUUGAUAUUUGCAAGAAGCACAGGCUGGUAUGGUGCCACCCUCAAGGUUCAUAUUUCUAGCAUCAAAAUUUUGGAAAACAGUGUGUGCUACAGUUUCUACAAGGAUCGAGGACAAGAUAAUAAAAAUGGCUAAAUAUAUAGCAGAGACAGAGGGAGAGAAGAUUGAUAUGCUUGUUGGUGUUGAAACAGAAAUUGUGACAUUUUUUAUGCUGAUGAGGUCUUAUAUGAGCAGAUUUACUAAAUGUGAAGAGACUGAGUAAGAGAGAAGAUUGAAUAUCGAAGAGAGAGCGAAUUUGGUGGAGUUUUGCUGUUUCUUUUAAGGAUUAUAUUAUGACCAUUACGGACAAAUGUUGAUAGUGUAGCAGAGUCCUAUUUUUUGGAGCCAUCUAUGGUCAAUCAAUGCUUCAUACUGACCCAUCUCUUGUUAAAAUUUGGCUUUUAAUCUUUUAUUUUUUCUUUCCAAGCCAUGUCUGUCGCACCUCUCCAAUCUCAUUGAAUUCUAUUACUAUUUGACGUAGCAUGAAGCUCAAAUAGAAACACA
rnacentral:misc_RNA from 1 species